AUUAUCCUCAGUGAAGUCACGCCAACAAGAAGUGAAGCAGACAGAGUUGGCACUGUAGUAACAGAGCAUGUAGUCAGCAGGGAUUUGAGGAGGGGAGGUUCAGUUGACUGAGCACUUCUCAUAAAAGAAGACGAAUCAAAUAGAGAGAACAAAAAAGCCGGGGAAAAAUUUCCAGCCCAGGAGUCAGGGAGUGAAUCUGCACUUGAAACAAGGAGCCGAGAGGAACUUCCAGCCAGAAGGUACCUUUCAAACAAAGAAGCUGAGACUAACCCAACCUCAGAGAGUAUACUCAGAAUCUUUAGACUCAAAAUCUGUCCUUACUGUGCUUCGGUGGACUGUCAUCUGGAGCAGUGGCUCAGGAGUUGGACUCACCAAUGGAUCCUCGGUCAAUGAGUCAGGAGUGAAGACAAAGGUUUCAAAGCUUCCGUCAAGUGGACGACGGCUUUCAAUUUUGGACAGAGGAUUAAGCAAGCUGAUGAAGAGCCCGGCCAAAACACUGAAUACAAGCUUUGGCUUCACGAGACUUGUGUCACCCACUCUAUCUUCCGACCACUCCUUCCAGAAGCAUACCUCUCCUGGGGCUUCAUAUCCACGAGCGUAGACUCCUGCAGACGGGAGCUCUGGUCCAUGGGGAUGGGGCAUCUUCCUUUUAUGUCCCCGUGAAUCUCCUUAUUGCUGGAGGAGUUCCCCUCACCAACCAGUUUGUUUUAGAACUUGCGUGACAGUAUUGUUACAUUUGAGCACUCAGAAAUGAGAUGCUGACAUGAGUAGUGAUUUACAUAAAAAUCUUCAUGUUCAUAGUUUUUAGAAAGUGACUUACUCAGAACUUUUCAAGGGUAGGAGUCCCCUGAGCCUGGCACGGUGUCUGACACCGGGGAUGUGCCCAAUGAAAAACUGUUGAAUCGGAAAUUGUCUGGAAAUGUAAAGGCGGGUAACAUUAUGGAACUAUUUUGAACGUUAUUCAUCUUUCUAAAAUAAUUGGAAAAAAUAGCUUGGAGAAAAUUAAGCUUUUGUUUUGAAAUUUGGAGUUAAAAAAAAAAUCUCAAGUGUUUGUAUCUCUGCUGUGUCCUCAUCAUGAACAGGAAAUUUCAAACAUAACAGAGACCCAGUUCUCACUGCUCCCACGUGGCUUCCGUGUGACUUUCAGCUGGAGCCCUGUUGGCUGUCCUUACUGAUGCCACUACUUUUAAAACCUAGUAAAUUUAAACAGCAUAACACAAUAGUGCCUUCUCUUUGUAGUUUAUAAGGAUUCCCUCAUGUAUAUUAUCUCAUUUAAACAGUACUUAAUGCAGUCAUGGGCAUUAAGUGUUAGCAUCCUUGUUAUUUCCAUUUUAUAGCCAAGAAUGUGGGGAUUUAGAGAGAGACUGCGUAACUUACUCACAAAAGUGUCCAAGCCAGGAUUCACUUUUUCCUGCAUAGCGAAGCUUCUAAAAAUGUGAAAGAAACUGAGUUUUGUAAAGACAGAGUCAGAUUCUGCCCAGGUACAGGGAAGUUGUAAGAACAUCUUCUCCUUGGUCGUGAGAAGUAGAAAAGCUGGAGCACUUAGAAAAUCGCACGAGUCCACUUAACUCACAGGCCAGCAUCUCCUAAGACGUCCUUCAGUGUCCCUGUCUGUUCACCAUCGAGGAGCGGUUUAAGUGGGAGAGUCCGGGUAACCCAGGUCCCGGGUCACAGACGGAUGCAGAGCUCUGAGUCCCACAGCCAUGUCCUCUGUG
rnacentral:lncRNA from 1 species